UACAGAGGGUGCAAGCGUUGUUCGGAAUUAUUGGGCGUAAAGGGCGCGUAGGCGGCCUUCUAAGUCGAACGUGAAAUCCCCGGGCUCAACCCGGGAACUGCGUCCGAUACUGGAAGGCUUGAAUCCGGGAGAGGGAUGCGGAAUUCCAGGUGUAGCGGUGAAAUGCGUAGAUAUCUGGAGGAACCCCGGUGGCGAAGCCGCAUCCUGGACCGGUAUUGACGCUGAGGCGCGAAAGCCAGGGGAGCAAACGGG
rnacentral:rRNA from 1 species